rnacentral:rRNA from 1 species
AACUUUCAACAACGGAUCUCUUGGUUCUGGCAUCGAUGAAGAACGCAGCGAAAUGCGAUACGUAAUGUGAAUUGCAGAAUUCAGUGAAUCAUCGAAUCUUUGAACGCACAUUGCGCCUAUUAGUAUUCUAGUAGGCAUGCCUGUUCGAGCGUCAUUU